rnacentral:rRNA from 1 species
GAGUUUGAUCCUGGCUCAGGACGAACGCUGGCGGCGUGCCUAACACAUGCAAGUCGAACGGGGAUAUUGAUUUCGGUUGAUAUCCUAGUGGCGAACGGGUGAGUAACGCGUGAGCAACCUGACCUUUUGAGGGGGAUAACACCUGGAAACAAGUGCUAAUACCGCAUAAGACCACGGAGCGGCAUCGUUCAGGGGUCAAAGGAGGAAUCCGCAGAAGGAGGGGCUCGCGUCCCAUUAGAUAGUAGGCGGGGUAACGGCCCACCUAGUCGACGAUGGGUAGCCGAGCUGAGAGGCUGAUCGGCCACACUGGAACUGAGACACGGUCCAGACUCCUACGGGAGGCAGCAGUGGGGAAUAUUGGGCAAUGGGCGCAAGCCUGACCCAGCAACGCCGCGUGAGGGAAGAAGGCUUUCGGGUUGUAAACCUCUGUCCUUGGUGACGAAGGAAGUGACGGUAGCCAAGGAGGAAGCCCCGGCUAACUACGUGCCAGCCGCCGCGGUAAUAC